CAUGGACAGAAACUUCACUGACCCUAUCCAUUCUGCAUGGGACUCGAACCCAGAUCCUUCUUGCUUUGAGGAAGGAAUAACUGCGAUCGUCCUUCGAACAUCAGCUCCAGUGGUCAGACUGCUCCAUUCAUCAUAACUGGAUUUCUGUUGGCACGUCUCAUCCCACCCACUCAUCAUGCCUGGUCCCACACGUAACAUCUUCCUUCUCGUGUGUGCACGGAAGAAGGGAGGGUGCAAAAAAAAAAUACAGAGCCAGAGCCAGCCUAAAGAAAGAGAUGGCUUUCUGGGCAUAUUAACACGCUGCCAUUCCUCGCAUGGGACAGAAGAACGGAAUGAAUGAAGAUAGGUUGGACAUGAUGUUUAGGGUGUGUGAA